rnacentral:rRNA from 1 species
AGAUUGAACGCUGGCGGCAGGCCUAACACAUGCAAGUCGAGCGGCAGCACGGGUACUUGUACCUGGUGGCGAGCGGCGGACGGGUGAGUAAUGCCUAGGAAUCUGCCUGGUAGUGGGGGAUAACGCUCGGAAACGGACGCUAAUACCGCAUACGUCCUACGGGAGAAAGCAGGGGACCUUCGGGCCUUGCGCUAUCAGAUGAGCCUAGGUCGGAUUAGCUAGUUGGUGAGGUAAUGGCUCACCAAGGCGACGAUCCGUAACUGGUCUGAGAGGAUGAUCAGUCACACUGGAACUGAGACACGGUCCAGACUCCGUACGGGAGGCAGGCAGGUGGGGAAUAGUUGGAACAAGUGGGGACGAAAGCCUGACUCCAGCCAUGCCGCGUGUGUAGAAGAAGUCGUCGGUAUUAGAAGUCUAUUUAAGGUGGAAGGAGG